ACGAGUUAAGUCUACUAUUAACACAAGUUAGGUUUAGUAAGAACAUGAGCUAACUGAUAUGCAAAAGUAGGCUUUCUGAAAGUUACUAUUUAUGGAAAUCAACUAUAAAAGGAAGGGUAAGUUCCCAUUUCGAGGGAUAGUUAUGCUCUAAAAACGAAAGUUACUAUUUAUGGAAAUCAAUUAUAAAAGAAAGGGUAAGUUUCAAUUUCGGAGGGAUAGUUAUGCUCUAAAAACGAAAGUUACUAUUUAUGGAAAUCUAUUAUAAAAGGAAUGGUAAGUUUCUAUUUCGGGGGGAUUCCUUUUCUGAAAAUUCAACACUAAUUGCCACAUGUCGCGACCUCAUUUGUUCUAAGUCACUAAUCUGUCCAUGUCAUUAAAGUUUUACUUUUUUCCCACCAUUUCAAAACUUAAAAAAUACAUAGAAAAUAGCUCCAGUGUCGGAAAAAUUGACCGAAAAAUGUCACGGACCACUGGCGAGACCCACUUCACAACUGCGUCUGAAUUUUAGUCAUCGGAAUCACAACGUGCCUACUAAUGUGGUAUAACUUGUUUGGUAGGUUAUAUGCUAGUAUACAACUUUGUGAACCAACUACAUAGAGGAAGCAAAAUUUUCAAAAAUCUCGUGAAAUAGAACGUGAUCGGUAUAGUAAAAUACGGUUACGGUAGAAAAAUCACUUUAAUUAGCCAAGGUUUGGGCCCCGAUCGAAGCGGUCAACCCUAUUUACGCUUAUGCUUCACUAAGGAGAGCCGUAUCCUCGGGUGGUAAACGUCCCCAAAGUUUUACAUGGGUGGUUAUGUCUCAUCGGGUGGUAAAGUCUCAUCUAUGUGAGAUUUUAUUGUGUUGAAGAAUCGACCAAACUAGGUCACGAAGAGGUAGGUAAGAUUGUUUUCGUGUGACAAGUGAAGAUGAAUUAGGGUUGACCGCAUUGAUAGAGCCCCGAACAUUGUUGAAUCCAGUUAAAUUUUAUACCAUAGCCAUGUUUCACUAUAACAAUCACAUCAGACGGCCAAUUUUCAUUUUGUGAAUUUUCAUUAACUCAAUCUCAAGAACAAUUUCAAUUUCUAGAAAGUCUAUUUUUUUGUGAUUUUGCUCAUCUAAAUGGAAGAUAUUUCUCAUAAAAAUAAUAGUUGUAUCUUAUGUUACUUGUAGACUUUGCAACUUUCACAUUCGAUUAUUGAUUCAAUCUCAAUAACAAUUUUGAUUUCCAGAAAGUCUACUUUUUUGUGAUUUUGCUCAUCUAGAUGGAAGACAUUUCUCAUGAAAAUAAUAGUUGUGUCUCAUGUUAAAUGUAGACUUUGCAACUUUCACCUUUNNNNNNNNNNNNNNNNNNNNCCUUCCUUGUUGCAGACCCACUACCCUCCUCCGAAUCAAACCAUUAGACUCACCCUUGUCACUCUUCCUUAUACCAAACCCAACUGCCACAGAAUAGGCAGCGUAGAAACUUUCUGCCUCAUCAACUGUAUUGAAUGUCAUGGUUUCAAUAUCAGAAACUGAAAAGCUUCCAUGUCUUGGGACGUGUACCUUUACAUCCUCAAAACCCGAAGAAGGUUGUUCUUCAUUCUCUGAUGGAUCCAUGGUUGGUUGUUCUUCAUUCCCAGAUGCAUCCAUACCUGUGUUUCAAUCAAUAUUUGCUUAACAAACUAAAUCCAAACAACAAACAUAAAGAGAUACUGGAUCCAUGGCUGGCUGUUCUUAAUUCGAGAUACUGGUAAACCGAAUUAGAAGAGUAGACCAAAUUGAAAUGCAAUACUCACCUACAAGAGACGUGAGAGUCCGAGUUUGACAGAUCGAUUUGGAGUUUGACAGACCAAAUUGAAGAGUUUGACAAAUCGAUUUGGAGUUUGACAGACCGAAUUGAAGAGUUUGACAGAUCGAUUUGGAGUUUGACAGACCGAAUUGAAGAGUUUGACAGAUCGAUUUGGAUUGCAGAUAAAGAGAGAGAGGAGAGUUAAAAUCGGAGAGAGAAAGGAGAAGGAACAGAAAGAGAGAGAGAGGGUAAGAGAAAGAGUCCGAGUUCAAAUCGAAGAGAACAAGGAGAGGUGAGUGGAUGUAGUCACUCCGUCAGUUUAGAUGCUUUAAAUCUUCAAACGGUCAUAUGACCGGCUAAAGGGGUAGCAGGUCAUCCUUUUAAGCAAUGAACCAAUCACAAACACCCAUGUGGUUAAGGUAUCCAUACCUUAAGGUACACAAUACACAAGUAUUUGCCUUCAUAAUUCUCCUUGUUAUUGCCUAGCCAAAUAGUUCAGAAUAACAAAAAGAAGGGCAAAUACUUGUGUAUUGUGUACCUUAAGGUAUGGAUAUCUUAACCACAUGGUUGCUUAUGAUUGGUCGAACUAGAUUAAUGAUGACCUGCUACCUGUUUGACUGUUCAUCCAAUUUAAAUCUCAAACUAACUCUCACUCUCUCACUAAUGGGGUUAGUUUCUCUCUCUCUCUCU
rnacentral:lncRNA from 1 species